rnacentral:tRNA from 1 species
AUUUAUAUAGUUUAUAACAAAACAUUAUAUUUUCAAUAUAAAAAAAAUUAAAUUUUGUAAAUA